UGGGGAAUCUUGGACAAUGGGGGCAACCCUGAUCCAGCCAUGCCGCGUGAGUGAUGAAGGCCUUAGGGUCGUAAAGCUCUUUCGCCUGUGAAGAUAAUGACGGUAGCAGGUAAAGAAACCCCGGCUAACUCCGUGCCAGCAGCCGCGGUAAUACGGAGGGGGUUAGCGUUGUUCGGAAUUACUGGGCGUAAAGCGCACGUAGGCGGAUCGGAAAGUUGGGGGUGAAAUCCCGGGGCUCAACCCCGGAACUGCCUCCAAAACUAUCGGUCUAGAGUUCGAGAGAGGUGAGUGGAAUUCCGAGUGUAGAGGUGAAAUUCGUAGAUAUUCGGAGGAACACCAGUGGCGAAGGCGGCUCACUGGCUCGAUACUGACGCUGAGGUGCGAAAGUGUGGGGAGCAAACAGGAUUAGAUACCCUGGUAGUCCACACCGUAAACGAUGAAUGCCAGUCGUCGGGUAGCAUGCUAUUCGGUGACACACCUAACGGAUUAAGCAUCCGCCU
rnacentral:rRNA from 1 species